CUGACUCGGGAGGAAGCUGACUUAGGCUGGAGGGGAGAGCCUGGCCACCUUGGCCUACAAUCCUCGGCAAGAAGUCAGCGGGAAAGAGACCUGAGCUCAUUUCGUUCCUGGGCCAGAGUGAGCACUAUCUGGAUUUCUCAAUUUUGGAAAGAGAAACCUGAAGCAGUCCUGAUCUAAGGGAUAUAGAGCCGUCUUCCCUGGGUCCUUGGGGAGUCUCAGAGCCCUGAGAACAAAUAGCUUAGAUAGCUAUGACUCAGCAGAGCAGCAGCUCGCCCCUCACAAUGUCAGCAGUCCAUGCGACUUGGAAAAGGACGCUGGGGCUACAUUUCUGUGCCCUCCCUCAGCUGAGAAGCCAGAGCUGACCCAGCCCUUAGCAGGCCAGAGCUCCCCAUUGGCAGAGACGUCUGAGUAGGGAGAUUCUAUUUCUGGCUUCUUGAUAAGGCUUGGGGGAGUGGGUGUUACAGAAAGGUGGAAGCAGAGAGGUGAAGGCCCACAACGACCAAAAGGCAUAGUGCAGAAGGGCCUGAUGAUGGGGGAGAAAUUUUUCAGUAAUUUCUGUAAAUGCAAUGCAUUUUUCAGAAAGUUAAGAUUUUAGCCAUUUGGUACACUUGCCACCAUCUGGCAGCUGGAAGCAGGAUCAAUUCCAAAAUCCGGCCCAUGGCACGCCACAGGAAAACUAGAACCGCUCCUGGAUGCUGGGUUCAUAGUAUCCCUUACUUUGUACCAGCACUGAACACGUGCUCUCCAUGUGCCGCUACAUUUAGUCCACACCAACCCCUCCAGAUCCGAGGUCAGGGGGAUCAGGGUCUGCGUGUGUGUUGCCAGGAGGUGCUGAGAAGUUGGGGGAGUGACGUGUAAUCUUCUCCCCUUCCCUCAGUGGGGUAGGUAUGCCCAGAAAACAAAGAAGUGACUUUCCUUCCACUGAUUGCCAUGUGGGCCACUUCCUGAACCUGAAAGAGAUGCCGUACCCCGAACACCAGGUCCUCAGCUCUAGCAAAUACAGGAGGGACAAGUUUCAGCCUCCGGCUGUCAGGGAGCAGCAAAUACAGAGGUGGGACCAGACCAGGCUCAUGGGAGUUUGUUCAUCAUUUCAUAGCCAUAUUAUGACCCAGUCUGAGAGGGCUGGAGAGUAAUUUCCAAGCCCUUAGGAAGUAGAUAGUCUAAGCCAUUGUUUUUGGGUUUUACGUGCUCUUGUGGUCAAUUCCUUUUUCUUCCUUUUUUUGAAAGGCAAACAAAUAGCCUAACAGCAAUAACAGUCAACAGGAUGGUGGCACAUCCGGGUUCAGACUCCAGCCUCCUCUUGCUGUAGUCAAAGUUAAUUAAUUCCCACUAAGCUUUGAACUAGGUUCCCUGCAGGUCUGUGCUGGGCCCUGCCCUGGCUGUCAGGGGAGGGCAUGGCUGGUUUGGCUCUGGGUGUGCUGUCCUGCGCAGGGGGAUGGAGAAGGGGGUAUGUUUCACCUUUGCAUGGGAUUGCCUCUCCUCUUCUCCUCCCGGGAGGUGACCAUUUUCAGAUCUGUGGGUGGGGAGGAAAAUCUUCUCUUCCAAAAAUAAUCUCUUUCUGCAGUGGGGUUUGAAGCUGGACCAAGCUGCUAGCGCUAUUUUUACCCAGCUUGCAGUUCAGGGUGUAAAUAGCAACUCUGGCUGUUUUUUCCCACAGCUGACAACAGAGUCGACCUCUUUGAGGCAGAAGCAUUCUGGCGUUUUGCACAGAGGAAACAGAACCAAAGUUGCCCUCGGGCCAAGGGGCUGACUCCUUGACCACUGGGUCAGUAUACAAACAGGGGUGGCAUCUCCAUGGUUCUGUUAUCUCAGUCUCUGCGGUAAACACCAGGCCCCAUGAUGGCUGCUUUGCUGAGGCUGAUUCAAAGAAGCACAGUGUGGAAUCACGAGGAGAAGGCAGGCCCAUAAAUCUCUGCCUGAGCACACUGAGGGUUUCAGGAGCUUGAGCAGCUCUGGACUCCAGCUGGCUGUCCCCCUUGCCCUCCCUCGUGCAUUAGCAAGCACUUCUUCCAAGGUUGCCACCCUUGGAGGGUUUCUUGCCCCAACCUCACCAGAUCAGGAGCUGAGGAAUGAGAGAAAAAACAACCAUUUGAGGCUGCCCAGAUGACAGAAUGUCCCUAAAAACAUGUACCUCCUUGCACUCAAGUGAUUGGAGCCCCCACAGUCUGCGGUAUUAGAAAGUGUCAUUUCGAGGGCGUGGUGAGAGGACUGGCUCCCUCCAGGCCACUCAUGAGCGGAAGCUGUGAGAAACUAACCAAAUCCUGGAGUUAUGUCUCCAAUUGGCCUGGGUGAGGUGGGAAGUUCAGCCUCAGAGAGGGCCCCUCGUUGAUACAGUUGAUGAGCAAGAUGAAUCAGCAAAGACUGAGACGUGCCCAUCACACUUGGCAAUUCCCUAUUGCUUCUCCUCUGGGGAGCAAACAGACUUCAGUGGCUUUUCUCUGAGGCCAAGUUUCUUACCCAAAUCUUUCCCUGGGGUCUUUGGUCUGAAAUUAGAAAGGAGUUAGGAGUCAGCAGGAAAAUCACUCUUCAUUAUGAAUUACACAGCAACUCUUCAUGGAACUGCCCGUCUCCUUCCUCUAGGUACACAUCGAUCAUCAUCAAUCAAUCCGAGAAUUUCUCAAAUAUCCACCACAGACUCAGAAAUGGGCAUUUAGGCACAUGGUUCAAGUUUCAGUUUCUUCCAGCAGAUGACAUGUGGGGUAAGAAAAGGAUUGGAGGACAGAUAAGUAGCUGAGCAAUCCCCAGAUCUGCUUUUUUGAGACUGGUUUCAGUGCAGCUCCUUGGAAUUGAUUCUGGGCAGCUGUUAAUUGCAAAACUCACUGCCAAUUAUCGAUAGCUAAAGUGGCAUUGGAGAGCUGCUGAUGGUAAAAAUAGGGGCAGGUAAUAAUGAGAAAAUAGCUUUGCAUUUAGAACAGAGGAUGGGAACAUAUUGUCUCCAACUGCUGUGUCGUGGGUUUCCAUUGUUAACUUGGGUUCUCUCCCAGGACCAGCCAGCAAAGCCUACUUAGCGACCUCCAGCAAAAAGUCCACCAGUGAGCUGCGCAGGAUGAGAUCAAAGCUUUGUCUCGGCAGCCAGACCAGAGGAGAUCCUGGUUCUCACUAUGCUCAGAGUCACAUUAAACAAACAAUACCACAGUUUUCACUAAAACCCGUUGAAUUUUAAAUGUACUGUUGACUAAAUUAGGGAGUUAUCGUUCAGUUGAUCUGGUAAUCCAUUUGUCCACCAAACUUCAGAUUUACAAACAAUGGUUUUCUGGGAAAGCCUCUUGAAGCCUGGAUGGUAAAUGUUUACCUUAAAAAAGCAAAAACUGAAGAAGGCAAAAGUGGCCUGGUGAGUAAAACCAAAAGCCUGCAGCAGACGGUCACGUUGCUGGACUGACUGUUUGUUUUGAAAAAUGUUCCCAUUCCGAGCCUUGACAUUGGGGAAAUUAGGAACAUGGUAACCGACUUCCUGUCUAGUAUUUCCCUGGAUUUCCUGGAAUCUAAUUUGAAGUGUCGUUUUCCCCUGAACCACCAAGGAGUUAAACUUUGGCUCUGUUCUCCCAGUGACUAAUAGGCACCGUGUGGCUCUGAGAUCAGCGAGAAAGAAACUGACAGUCGGCGUGGGAAGUGUGCGAGAUUUCAGUGCUCUUGAAAUGCCUUUGAUGGGCAUGGUGAGCGAGCACAAGGAUUAUUGCCACCUAGAGCCCCUGAUUGUGUAAUUUGAUCUUGAAUUCUUGUUUCUCUCUUUGAAUUUUGCUUGAUUUUAAAGGAGGAUCUCGGACUCCUUUGGGGGCUUGAUAUGACUGCAGUGUGUGAGUUAUUCCACGGAGAAUGAUAUUUUAGGCAACAAACUAAUUCCACCACUUUGAAAAACAACCCACUUUGGUUGAAAACAAAGCAGAAUCAAGUGACCUGACCAAAUGGCACUUGACGUGUGUUAGGAAGACUUGUCUUCCCGCUCUUGCUGUUUUCUUUCUUGUGAAAGGAGCCCAAUUAGCAUAACACUCCUGGCUUCUCACCACCCUCCCCCACCCCCAUUCUUCCCUGGGAAGGAGGAGUGGUUUAAGAUGACUGAUGAGUUUGGAAGGAGAAACUAUGCCUCAUACCAUCUUCUCUUCCUUUCUUCUUGGGAGUCAACACUCCUCCCGCAGGGUGGAAAGGAGAGGCCCAUUCUGGCCCAGCUGCCUAUUGCUGAGUGUCCACGUAUGAUUUUGAGGCCAAGUGUCAGGAAGCUCAUUGGCCUGAGAAUGUAAGCCACAUUCUCUAAUAUCAGCCUUAUUAGUAAUAAAGGUUAUUUUCGGUCCUCAUCUAGCUUACUGCUAUCUUACUUCUGAUUCACUUCAAAGCUCGCAGAAAAGGGGAGGCGACUGCUAUUUUGAGGCCUCCUCGAAGACCCCAACAUAUUUACCAGGCGGCUUCCUGGUGGUUAGAAAAAGCCUUGUGUUGGGAUGAAACCCUGGCUUCUAGAUCCACAUCACUACUUUCUUAUAGGACAACAGGUUCUUUAGUUGUCAAAUGAGUAAAGGGGAGUUUACAGAAGGUGUUCCUUCCAGCUGAAAUGUAUCCAUUCAAAACUUAUUUAUUGAAUGCCUACUAUGUGCCAGGGAGUACAACGGUGAUCAAGAGAGACAGUCUCUGCUGCCACACAGUUUAUAAUCUAACUAGGGUGCAUCAAUUAGAAAGUUUAAUGUUCCAAGUGAAAUGAAACCAUCUCAAACAGGCUGAAGCAAUAAGGAAAAUUUAUUGGCUCACUGGGGAUCCAGGCACGAUUUGAUCCAGGACUCAAACAACAGGGAUCCAUUUCUUGGCUCUGCUUCCUCUGGGUGGGAUUCAUUCUUUUGUCACCAUAUGAUGCAACCCCUCCUCUCUCCUGGCAGCUCCACACUUUCCACUAUGACUGCAGGAGAAAUGAGAUGUACUGUUUACCAGGCUGAGAAGAGUCCAAGUGCCAACAUUCCCUACAGACUCCUGAGGUCCACUCUGAUUAGACCAUUUCAGGGCACAGGCCUCCCCUAAAGCGAUGACCGAGCUCAGAGUGAUAGAUACACUGAUGGGCUCAAACCCAGUGGGGUCCAUCCCUGGAUGGAGGAAAGUUGGGCCCUCCCUAUAUGGCUCAGAAAUUUAGAAAUCUAUUAGGAAGAGAGAGGGGGCAGCAACCAAUAACUGUCCACGAUAGAAAGACAAUAAAUAAAAUGAGAAUUUUGCUUUGAGGGAACAAUUCAGCCUGUAGAAAAUGCAGGAAUCCCUUAUUCCCUGGUGAGUCUAGCACAGGCCUGGGAAUCCAGAGAAUUGGCUUCCAAAUCCUGUGCAGGGCCCCUAUACACAACAGGCCUUCAGGAAAGUUCUGGAGGUUGACAGACUUUGCUCCUUGAUCUCACCUCUCUGGAACUGCCCUUGGGUUGGAUUCUCCUGCUCUGUGAUCCCUUUUCUUUUUUUGGAAAGGAGGAUAACAUGUACCUGAGAGGGACACUAAAAGGAUAACUGAGGUGACAUCCACAAAGCAUCUGUCACUAAAUAAACCCAAGCUAUCUAUUGACCUGUGCUUGUGAUUCUUUCAGAUUUAAGGACAUUUAGCCAGUGGUUUAGGGGCUAAACAUUAACCACAUUGGGGCAGAUCAGCACCACAGGAGCUAUGAGCCGUGAAGAUACACAGGCCUUCGGUGUUCUAAGUUCAAAAGAUCUGUGUGAAACAAGGUAUAACCCAAAUUAGUUGAAAAUGGACAGCAAUACAGUCAAACAUGCCAGAUAAGGAGAGUGCUCCAGCUAAGUACCACAGCUAGUUCUCAAAAGGUAUGAGUAUUUGCCAAGCAACCCAGAAGUACCAGCGGGGCCUGAGCAAUCCUUUGCUUCUUCAUUCAACAAACAUUUAUUGGGUACCCCCUAUACAAGAAGCUACUGUAGGAACACAAUCAAUGAUGAGACUGACACAAAUCCUUUUCAGAAAAAAGAAGGAAUCUCCAUUUAUCAAUAGGUAAAUUAUUAUAAGAAACCAGAUUACUAUAUGCAAAGCUAAAAUGAAUUCAAGAUCUACUAUGAUACCAGAGACAGAAGGUAAAACUAGUUUCAUUUUGUGGAGGAAGUUGGAGAAGGAGUGGGCCAUGCCUACCGAAUGAAUCUUGCAUUAAGGCAUAGACAAAUGUAUAGGGUUAAGUUGAGAGAUUGCGAUCAACUACACAGUCUUUUUUGGUCUCCCAAAUAAAUGUGACUCAGUCCUCUGAACACCCUCCAGCAGCAGUUAUUUGCACCUUUCUUACUGUUCCUAUUCUGACUCAUAUCACAGUCAAUUAUUUAUUCAUUCAAUUAUUCGGUCAAUCACUCAUUGAACAUUUAGGGCAAGCUUGAUAUGCACCAAGAACUACGUCAAAGGCCAGGAUACAAAACACAGUGAAACAUGGUCCCUAUGUUCUAGGACUUCAGUCUGGGUGGGGAAAGAGACAUAUAAAAAGUAAUUAUACUAUAAUAUGGGAGGUACUAUCGUAGAAGCAUGUACUAGGUGCUUGGAGGCGAAGGUUUCACAAAAGAGGUGACAUCUGAGUGGAUCUUGAAGAGAACAGGAGUUUUCUAGGCUGAAAUUCCAGAGUAUCUGACAAGUCCCCAAAAGAGGAGUCAGCACAGUAUGCUGAGGAAAUGGUAAGGAGUUUGGUAUGUGGCAUGUAGGGAGAGUGUCAGAAGAGGAGGUUGAAAAGGUAAGUGGGAUAAAAGGUAAGUCACACAGAGCUUCGUACAUAGGUCUUGCUAUAGACUUUGGACUUUGGACUUUAUUUUAUAAACAAAGGGGAUUUGUUGAAGGACUUUAAGUAAAGGAGGGACAGUAUUAAGUUUGGGCUUUAGAAAGAUAUUCUGGUAGCAGUCUGAAGGAAGAAUUAUUGUGGGGAGUGAUUGAAGGCAAAGAAAUUAACAAGAAGGUUAUUUCAAUAUUCUAGGUGAGAAGUCAUAAGGUCUUAAUAGUUGAAAAAGGGAACAGAAUAUGUUUAAGGAAGAAUUGAGAGAUGGAAUCAAAAGACGAUGAUUGAUGGGAGAAGAAGUUAAAAAUGACUUAGAAAUCACUAGCCUGCACAGCUGAGGAAAUGAGGGUUUCAUUAACUGCAGAAGGUAAUAGAAGAGCAGGUUUGGGAGGAAAGAUAAUGACGUUGCGUUUAAGAUGCUUGCAUGACAUUUAGGUAGGCAGGCAGGCCCCAUCGGCUGUUAGGAACAUCUUUCUAGAGUUGAUGAGAGAGAUGGAGGGUAGAGAUUGACCAGGGGAUAGGUAGGUGCUGAGGCCAUGGAAUUCAACGGGACUAGCAUUAAAGGGCAAAGCUUUUGACAGCAGGAGUUUGAUAAUCCCCAGAGCCCCUGGCACAAUACUUUGCAUAAAGCAGACAGUAUCCAUGUAAACACCUACAGAUACACAUAUAGAUACACCAAUUUGGAGAUUACUAAUAAGAGCUAGAUGCCCCGAGAUCUCACAUUUGGAGCCAUUGCAAUUUUAAAGACUUAUUUUAGGGUCAAAUUGGCAAUAAGAAGAGUACAACUAAUAUACUAAUAUUCAGCGAUUCUAGCCUUCUGUUAAAUUCUGUAAAAAGUACUGGUUUCACCUUGUGUAUUUCUUUGCAUUUGGUCUUCCAGAGCAGAAACUAUAAAAUGAGGAAGCUAGGGAAAUACAGUUUAUCAGAAUAGGGGAGUUCAGUCACAUUUGCUGGAACACAGAAAUUGGUGUCAAUGUGAUUGACCCUUAGAGAAAUCAUUUUGAGGCAACUUCAUGGUGUUUGGGGAACUAAGCAAUGUCGUCUUCAAAUGUUAUACAAUGCUACUUUUUUUUCGCAUUUGCUCAUUCUUUCAACAAGCAUUGUUUGAGCACUUGGUGUGUUCCAGACAUUGUGCUGGGGACAAAAGACAUCUUCUCAUCCCUCAAAGAGCUCAUGGUCCAGUAGGGAACAUAGACAAGAGAAUAUAAUGAAAAUACACUAUGAAGUGCUGUGAUAGA